UACGUAGGCAGCAAGCGUUGUUCGGAAUUACUGGGCGUAAAGGGCGCGUAGGCGGCCUUCUAAGUCAGACGUGAAAUCCCCGGGCUCAACCCGGGAACUGCGUCUGAGACUGGAAGGCUUGAAUCCGGGAGAGGGAUGUGGAAUUCCAGGUGUAGCGGUGAAAUGCGUAGAUAUCUGGAGGAACACCGGUGGCGAAGGCGGGUCUCUGGGCCGUAACUGACGCUGAGGAGCGAAAGCGUGGGGAGCGAACAGG
rnacentral:rRNA from 1 species